rnacentral:rRNA from 1 species
UCCAUCCGGUGGCAACACCGGGGAAGAUCUAGCGGCGAACGGGUGAGUAACACGUGAGAAACCUGCCCUGAAGUCUGGGAUAACCCGAGGAAACUCGAGCUAAUACCGGAUGCCUUCCAAUGGUCGCAUGGCCGAUGGAAGAAAGAUUUAUCGCUUCAGGAGGGUCUCGCGGCCUAUCAGCUUGUUGGCGGGGUAACGGCCCACCAAGGCGUCGACGGGUAGCUGGUCUGAGAGGACGAUCAGCCACACUGGGACUGAGACACGGCCCAGACUCCUACGGGAGGCAGCAGUGGGGAAUAUUGCGCAAUGGGCGAAAGCCUGACGCAGCAACGCCGCGUGCGGGAUGAAGGCCUUCGGG